rnacentral:lncRNA from 1 species
AAUCCUUGGAUUGAUGGGGUUCUAAAUCUAACUAAUUCCUUAAUUGGAUUGGGGCCUAGUUGGUUUCAUAAUUGGGCGAGGACCUAAUUAGUUAGUUUGUUAUAACUAAUUCCUAUGUUAGUUAGGAUUGGGUCUAAGAAUUAGUUAGAGUUGGAACAAGAUUCAUGAACCCUAUUUAGAAUAGGAUUGAACCAACCCCAUGACUCAUAAAUUCUCCAUGCCCCAU